rnacentral:lncRNA from 1 species
CUGAUAAAAUACAGAAAAUCCUGUUAAAUUUAAAAUUCAGAAGAAUAACACUUUUUUUUUUAGUAUGAGUAUAUUCCAUGUAAUAUUUAGGACAUAUUUACAUGAAACAUUUAUUUAUUGCUUAUCUGUAUUUUUAUUUACUACAUCUGACAACCUAGUCUUAGAGGAUGAAUGGACAAAAGAGCUUCAACUCCCAGUGUUGCUGGUACUGCAUGACUUUGGUGGACAACAGCUACAGACAGUGCCCAGACCAGUGGAAGCAGUGGCUGAAGUGCAAUGGCAUGAUCUCGGCUCACUGCAACCACUGCCUCUCAGGUUCAAGUGAUUCUCCUGCCUCAGCCACCCUAGUAAAUGGACACACACCACCAUGCCCAAGUAAUUUUUGUAUUUUUAGUAGAGACAGAGUUUUGCCAUGUUGCCCAGGCUGGUCUUGAACUUGACUUCUGGUGAUCCAGCUGCCUCAGCCUCCCAAAGUGCUGGGAUUACAGGUACAAGCCACUGCAUCCGGCUCAACUACCGAUUAUUUUUUGUGUCUUAUGUUAUAUGACACACAGAUGUCAUAUACUCUCACACCUCUGUGCCUUGGUUCUCAUUGCUCUUUUUACUGGAAUGGCUUUCUUCGCUACUUGUAAAGCUGUAACUUGGUAGUAUUCUAAUUAUCCUUUCCAUCUCAGUUCAAACAUGUUUUCUCUAAUGCUC